GACGAACGCUGGCGGCGUGCCUAAUACAUGCAAGUCGAGCGGACGAUUCGAAAGCUUGCUUUUGCAUCGUUAGCGGCGGACGGGUGAGUAACACGUGGGCAACCUGCCCUGUAGACGGGGAUAACACCGAGAAAUCGGUGCUAAUACCGGAUAACACGAAAUGUCGCAUGACGUUUCGUUGAAAGGCGGCGCAAGCUGCCGCUACAGGAUGGGCCCGCGGCGCAUUAUCUAGUUGGUGAGGUAACGGCUCACCAAGGCGACGAUGGGUAGCGGACCUGAGAGGGAGAUCGGCCACACGGGGAGUGAGAAACGGCCCAGACUCCUAGGGGAGGCAGCAGUAGGAAAUCUUACGCAAUGGACGAAAGGCUGACGGAGCAAAGCCCGGGGAGGGAAGAAGGACUUCGGGUGGUAAAGCGCUGUUGUUAGGGAAGAACAAGUAACGUAGUAACUGACGUUACUAUGACGGUACCUAACGAGAAAGCCACGGCUAACUACGU
rnacentral:rRNA from 1 species